rnacentral:rRNA from 1 species
UACGGGAGGUAGCAGUGGGGAAUAUUGCACAAUGGACGCAAGCCUGAUGCAGCCAUGCCGCGUGUAUGAAGAAGGCCUUCGGGUUGUAAAGUACUUUCAGUCGUGAGGAAGGUGUUAAGGUUAAUAACCUUAGCAAUUGACGUUAGCGACAGAAGAAGCACCGGCUAACUCCGUGCCAGCAGCCGCGGUAAUACGGAGGGUGCGAGCGUUAAUCGGAAUUACUGGGCGUAAAGGGCACGCAGGCGGUUAAUUAAGUUGGAUGUGAAAUCCCCGGGCUUAACCUGGGAAUGGCAUUCAAGACUGGUUAGCUAGAGUCUUGUAGAGGGGGUAGAAUUCCAUGUGUAGCGGUGAAAUGCGUAGAGAUGUGGAGGAAUACCGGUGGCGAAGGCGGCCCCUGGACAAAGACUGACGCUCAUGUGCGAAAGCGUGGGGAGCAAACAGGGAUUUAGAUACC